rfam:Asian citrus Psyllid, Diaphorina citri - Florida Strain, whole genome shotgun sequence.
GUGGCCGAGCGGUUAAGAGCACUGGACUUUCAAUCCGGAGGCCCCGGGUUCGAAUCCCGGC